rnacentral:lncRNA from 1 species
AAUUAACCAAGCUGGUACAGAAGGAAAGAGAUAAAAAGGAAGAUCUUAGAAAAAGGCAGAAGAAAAAAAAAUGUAAAACAUUCCUACCUGUCAUUGAAACGUCCCUGAGAAGGUAUAUUCUGAUGGGGAGAAUAUGGAGAGCCCCCCCAGCCACCAUGAGUUCCAUAAGGACUGUAGUCUGAAAUGAUUGAUUUGGUGGAAGCUCCCUGAACUGCCAUGGCCUGAAUGGGACCAGAAUUCUGGUACAUCGCUUUGGAAGUACGAGAGAUAGCCCCAAAUCUCGACACAGUUGGUCGGUCUCCAAAUGGAAUGAGGUCAUCAUCACCAGCCUCUGCCGCUCUUCUCUGCAUGUCUAAUCGUUGGUCACGCAUGGCUUUACUAUCCACGUUCGCCAUCUCCACACUCCUUGCUGCCACAACAUCUUUGGGUUUUGCAUCUUUGGUUCCAAUGUAGGAGCCGAUGGUGUCACAGGACCAGGGAGAGUACUGGCUGUAGUCAUUUCCUUUGUAUUUCCCAGCUACCUUCAGGUCUUC